GGUGCGGGAGGGUUGUCAGGUAUGCUCGGCAAAUUAUUGUAAAUCCGGGCAGUGAGUCGGCAAAUUGUUUCCUAAUAAGUUGGUAAAACGUGAAUAGGAUAGGAAGCUAGGGUAUAAACACUAAAAUAUUGGAGUGACACUCAUGAUUAAUUAAAAACUAAUAAUUAUAUGUUAAGAUCAAAUUUGGGGGAAUUAUGGGAAUAUUACCUAAUUACAAACAUCAACCAACAAGAUAAUGAAAAAUGUCCAGAAAAUUUUUUAUGUU